GUUUUGGUCCUAAACUUACCAUUACUUAUAACCAAAAUUAUACAUGCCAGCAUCCGCAUUCCAGUGCACAUGCCCACAACAAAGCUGCUAAGCAGCAAAAGAGCAGGUAUCAGGCACACACUGUAGCCCAAAACACCGAGCUUUGCCACACCCACACGGAAUUCAGCAGUAGUAAACCUUAAGCAAUAAGUGUUAGCUUGACUUAGUUAUGGUUAAACCAGGGCCGGUAAAUUUCGUGCCAGCCACCGCGGUUAUACGAAAGACCCAAAGUAAUGUCCCCGGCGUAAAAUGUGCCUAGAACCUAAGCUUGAUAAGGAAGUUGAAAUCACUACGCAGUUGUAAAAUACACACACACAAAGAACCUCCACCAAACCUCCCCAACCAGCACACUUUGAAGCCACGAAAACUGAGAAACAAACUAGGAUUAGAUACCCUACUAUGCUCAGCCGUUAACCUAGACUGCACCAUAUAAGCAGUUCGCCAGAAGAUUACAAGUGAAAAACUUAAAACUCCAAGGACUUGACGGUGUCCCACAUCAACCUAGAGGAGCCUGUCCUAUAAUCGAUACUCCACGGUAAACCUCACCCCAUCUUGCCAAAUCAACCUAUAUACCGCCGUCGCCAGCCUACCUCCCAAGAGUAACACACCGUAAGCAACAAACUCCCACACGUCACUCAAACGUCAGGUCAAGGUGUAGUUAAUGAUGGGGCAGAGAUGGGCUACAUUUUCUAAACUAGAACACACCAACCGCAGUAUGAAAUAUAAGCUACAAGGCGGAUUUAGCAGUAAGACAGGCAAGACAAGCCUAUCUGAAACCAGCCCUGGGACGCGUACACACCGCCCGUCACCCUCCUCGCCCAUAACAAAACCUAUAAAUAAAACCAACUCCUACCAACAGAUGAGGUAAGUCGUAACAUGGUAAGCGCACUGGAAAGUGCGCUUGGCUCAU
rnacentral:ncRNA from 1 species